rnacentral:tRNA from 1 species
GGAGGGAUGGCAGAGCGGACGAUUGCGACGGUCUUGAAAACCGUUGGGUCUAGUGGCCCCGGGGGUUCGAAUCCCCCUCCCUCCG